GGUUAAAUGCCAACCAAGGUGGUAACGGGUGACGGGGAAUCAGGGUUCGAUACCGGAGAGGGAGCCUGAGAAACGGCUACCACAUCCAAGGAAGGCAGCAGGCACGCAAAUUACCCACUCCCGGCUCGGGGAGGUAGUGACGAAAAAUAACAAUACGAGACUCAUCCGAGGCUUCGUAAUUGGAAUGGGUACACUUUAAAUCCUUUAACGAGGAUCUAUUGGAGGGCAAGUCUGGUGCCAGCAGCCGCGGUAAUUCCAGCUCCAAUAGCGUAUAUUAAAGUUGCUGCGGUUAAAAAGCUCGUAGUUGGAUCUCAGUCUCGGUCGGACGGUCCACUUCACGGUGGUACUGUUCGAAUCGGACAUUUGGCCGCCUUUCUCAGUAUGCUCUUCACUGAGUGUAUUGGGAGAGUGGCACGUUUACUUUGAAAAAAUUAGAGUGCUCAAAUCAGGCAAUUGCCUGAAUCUUCGUGCAUGGAAUGAUGGAAUAGGGCCUCGGUUCUAUUUUGUUGGUUUCCGGAACUCGAGGUAAUGAUUAAGAGGGACGGACGGGGGCAUUCGUAUUGCGACGUUAGAGGUGAAAUUCUUAGAUCGUCGCAAGACGAACUACUGCGAAAGCAUUUGCCAAGAAUGUUUUCAUUAAUCAAGAACGAAAGUCAGAGGUUCGAAGGCGAUCAGAUACCACCCUAGUUCUGACCUUAAACGAUGCUAUCUGGCGAUCCGUCGGUGUUAAUUCCAAUGACCCGACGGGCAGCUUCCGGGAAACCAAAGUGUUCAAGUUCCGGGGGAAGUAUGGUUGCAAAACUGGAACUUAAAGGAAUUGACGGAAGGGCACCACCAGGAGUGGAGCCUGUGGCUUAAUUUGACAACACGGGAAAUCUCACCAGGCCCGGACACUGGCAGGAUUGACAGAUUGAUAGCUCUUUCUUGAUUCAGUGGGUGGUGGUGCAUGGCCGUUCUUAGUUGGUGGAGUGAUUUGUCUGGUUAAUUCCGAUAACGAACGAGACCCCGUCCUACUUACUAGACUGAGGAUUCUUUUGUCCUCAGAAUCUUCUUAGAGGGACAACUGGCGUUUAUCUAGCUACAUGAAAUGGGGCAAUAACAGGUCUGUGAUGCCCUUAGAUGUUCUGGGCCGCACACGCGCUACACUGAAAGGAUCAUCGUGUUUGUCCUAGCCUGAAAAGGCCGGGAAAUCCGUUGAAAUCUCUUCGUGCUAGGGAUUGAGGCUUGCAAUUUUUUCUCAUGAACGAGGAAUUCCCAGUAAGUGCGAGUCAUAAGCUCGCGCUGAUUACGUCCCUGCCCUUUGUACACACCGCCCGUCGCUACUACCGAUUGGAUGAUUUAGUGAGGCCUUCGGACUGGCUGCUAGUGGGGCACUUGUGUCCUGCUGGUGGAUCGGGAAGAUGUUCAAACUGUAUCAUCUAGAGGAAGUAAAAGUCGUAACAAGGUU
rnacentral:rRNA from 1 species